rnacentral:rRNA from 1 species
UUGUGAGGUUAAGCGACUAAGCGUACACGGUGGAUGCCCUGGCAGUCAGAGGCGAUGAAGGACGUGCUAAUCUGCGAUAAGCGUCGGUAAGGUGAUAUGAACCGUUAUAACCGGCGAUUUCCGAAUGGGGAAACCCAGUGUGUUUCGACACACUAUCAUUAACUGAAUCCAUAGGUUAAUGAGGCGAACCGGGGGAACUGAAACAUCUAAGUACCCCGAGGAAAAGAAAUCAACCGAGAUUCCCCCAGUAGCGGCGAGCGAACGGGGAGGAGCCCAGAGCCUGAAUCAGUGUGUGUGUUAGUGGAAGCGUCUGGAAAGCCGCGCGAUACAGGGUGACAGCCCCGU